rnacentral:lncRNA from 1 species
GCAGGUUCACCCUCAGUCUGUGUGGGCACUGUCUAAUCAGCUGCCAGUGCAGCUAGAAUAAAGCAGGCAGAAGAAGUUGGAAAGAGCAGACUUGCUGAGUCUUCUGGCCUUCAUCUUUCUCCUGUGCAGGAUGCUUCCUGCCCUCAAACUUCAGACUCCAAGUUCUCCAGCUUUUGGUUUCUUGGACUUACACCAGUGAUUUGCCAGGGACUCUCGGGCCUACUACCACAGACUGAAGGCUGCACUGUUGGCUUCCCUACUUUUGAAGUUUGGGGGCUGGCUUCCUAGUUCCUCAGCUUGUGGAUGACCUACUGUGGGACUUCACCUCGUGAUAGGCUCACUGCUGGUAUUAGAAAGUUCUCAAGGCUACCUUAUCCUUCUUGGUUCCUCUCUCGUCUCCUUCUCCCCAGCUCAACCAGUUUUCUAGAGGCUCCAUUGAGACACAGUUGCACUGCCUGCCACUGUGGACCCCAGCCUUCUGCCAAGUGAGGUACUCACAAUGGCUCCUUGUGCCUUGCUGCUGAGGGCUUCUUGAGUCCAUGCUAACGUGUUCCUGAAGAGGAGUUGAUGCUGCACAGUGAAUUGAGGGCCAAAUCAGCAAUACAACCUGGGUCGCCUGGAUUUCAGCGCAUGGCCUUUCCAAGAUAACAUGCUACUCUCUCGUCCACAGAUUUUGAAGAAAAAAAAAGAUCACCUAAAGAGAAAAUAGAGAAAAACUGUAAGUAUUAAUGUACUAUUAUAAGUCUCUAUUACAAAGACAGGUUUAUAGGAAAUAAAAAAGCACAUAAAGCAUGACACAGGCUCAUUACUUAAAAUAAAUUUUUAUGGCAGAAUUGGCCAGACAGACUUUUAUACUAUCAGAUAAUUAAGUAGUGAUAUUAGAGUUUUUUAAACAACUUUUUAAAAUUAUGAGAAUAUUCAAAUAUUAACAAAAAUAGAAACAACAAUAUAAUGAAACCUACUGUACCCAACACCCAGUUGUAACAAUUAUCAACAGCCUGCUGUACUAUAGUGUGUUUGGAUGUCUUUUGGGGAUGCCAAAAAUAAAAGCAUUUUUUUUUCUUAUAAAAGAUGGUAAAAAAAAAGGGUCAUAUGUGUUUAAAAUCUUCUCAAAAUAUAUACUCAUAUUUUCAAAAUACCUGGAUCUACAAUUCAAGAAGAGGUUAAUUUUAUUAGAUAGUUACUAUUAUUACUCACACUUUCAAUGAAUAAAGUGAGCAUCAGGGAUUUUUGGACACUUGGUCAAGGUUAUACAAAUAAUAAUUGAAAGAGUGGAGAUAUGAACUCAUGUUUUCUGACUGUGCUCUAAAUUACCCCGGA